rnacentral:rRNA from 1 species
AGAGUUUGAUCCUGGCUCAGAGUGAACGUUGGCGGCGUGGAUUAGGCAUGCAAGUCGUGCGACGAGGCCCGCAAGGGUCUCGAGCGGCGAAAGGGAGAGUAAUGCAUGGGUAACCUGCCCCCGGGACUGGGAUAGCCGCGGGAAACUGCGGGUAAUACCAGAUGACGUCUCAUGGCGAUUGUCAUGGGACCAAAGGUGCGAGUCCGCCUGGGGAGGGGCCCAUGUCCUAUCAGCUAGUUGGCGAGGUAACGGCUCACCAAGGCUACGACGGGUACGGGGUGUGAGAGCAUGUCCCCGCUCACUGGGACUGAGACACUGCCCAGACACCUACGGGUGGCUGCAGUCGAGAAUCUUCGGCAAUGGGCGCAAGCCUGACCGAGCGACGCCGCGUGCGGGACGAAGGCCAUUGUGUUGUAAACCGCUGUCAGAGGGGAGGAAAUGUCGGCCCUCAGGGUCGGCUUGACCUAUCCUCAGAGGAAGGACGGGCUAAGUCCGUGCCAGCAGCCGCGGUAAGACGGACCGUCCGAACGUUACUCGGAAUUACUGGGCUUAAAGGGUGCGUAGGCGGCUCUGCAAGUCGAGUGUGAAAUCCCCCGGCUUAACCGAGGAAUUGCGCCCGAAACUGCAGAGCUCGAGGGAGAUA